UCUAGAGAAUAAUUUUAGGUGUUUGAGAAGUUCAUUGAAUAAACCUACAAGGUAAUCCCCAAGUCUAAUUUGAGAUAUUUUUCUAGGUGAAUGGAGCAUAAGUUUGGAGGCUGUUCCAGCAAAGAACUAGUUCUUUGAAACUUGAGUAUGUCCUGAUUGGGAGGUUGGGCAGAUAUGUAAAGGAGUAUAGCAAUCGUGUGCAUGAACAUAGAGCAUAAGUAUGCUAGUAGAGUUGGUUUACAAUUGUUACAUUCUUUAUUCUGCUGCACCUGGGGAGCUUGUUAAUUCACAAUAAAUAGUUCUUUAUAUGUUGACAAUAGUUUGAAAAUUGAAACAAAACAGUGUCACUGAGGAUAAAAAUUCUCUUGACAAUGGCUUUUUUAUAUUCAAAUUAAACAUGAAGUAGAUAUGGGGAAAAUCCUUGAAAUUGGGCCAUUUUAUUUUGGAAGUAGACUAAUUUUAGUGAGAAGAUGGCAGUUGUACAUGCAUUUGACUAAGAGUGAAUUCUCUUUUGUGCACAUUCCGAUGAAAUAAUGAAAUUUCUUAGUGUUUUUUCAAUUGUGAUGUCUAAUAUGUUAUAGUAAGGUCUUAAAUUUGAAGGAGUGGGUAUUUGAAGAUUAUGGGUGUUGACCUGUAGGUAAUAUAUCCUUACAUAUUUGCCACACUAGCAUGAGCUUUGCUUUGACAAAUAUGACGAUGAUUUGACUAAGAAAUUGUUUGAAUUUUAUUUUGUGUCAACAUUAAUUAGAGAAUUGUGUCAAGAUGCGAAGCUACUGCCUUGCAACGUCAAUUUCAAGCUAUGAAGUUACUGCCUUCCAAUGCUAAUGAUUUCAUUGUUAUUAAUCAUUGAUUAUGUCUAUCAAGAAAAAAACUUUAACCAUGAGAAUCUCUUGGUUGAGAAUUUUUAUUUUUAAAUUUUUUUUUGUGCUAUUAUGUUGCACUGCUCAAAUGCUUUAAUCUUGUGAUUGUUUGAUUAUGAAUCAGGAAAUAUAUGAUGCCCAUUGAGUCCAUACCUUUCCAUGAAAUCAUCUGCUUUAAAAAUGUCGACAAACUUCAAGUAGUAAGUAUUUUUGUAAUAUUGAAACUAAGAAAUAGAAAUCAAAUGGAAAAUGUUCACUGACUACUUAUUGUUGUUAAGAUAGUGCAAAAUUUUGGUAACUACACAAGUCAUUUAAGAAGCUACAUAUGAGUUGAUAGGUUCUAUUGAUUUCUAUAUUAUAUUUUGAUAUAAUGUGUAAGUAGUUUAAUUGUAACGGUGAUGGUGGUGGUGUAACCAGACUGUCUUGUCUUCCUCUCCAUAUCUUUUUGUCCUUUGGGUUAAUUUUUAUUUCAUUAUUUAUUUUUUAACGGGAAAAAUUUCAUUGAUAGUUUUAUUGUAAGCAGGGGGAACUAAAGUUUGUUGGAAGCCUUCAACCUACUUCCCAGUGCUGUAAAGAGUACAUGAUUGGUCUUGCAUGUGUUGUAUUGCAUGCAGUUGAUCUCCCCCCCCCCAUAUUUUUAUGUUAGACAAAUUCAUCCAUGCAAUUUAAAUAUCUUGAUUUUUUUUUUUUGAAAAUUUAAUCUUAAGAACUAUUGAUGAUCUGUUACUAAACCUAAAAUUGAUUGGGCUUCACAAUUUGGUAGGGUUGCUGAUUUCGUGGUGGCAAAUUCCGAUCCUUUCAUACCUAUAAGUCAAAAGACUCGUAGGUCUUGUCAUUUCUGGAAGUGGCUAAGUGGGCUUAUCUGUUCGUCAAUCUUCAAUUGCUCAUGAAAUUUCUGAACUUAUUAAGAGACCUAAGCUUGAGGCAAGAAUUUGUUAUGACCCAGAAGAUUUUUGGCUGGAUUUAGAAAGGUUUUGCACUUGAGCAUCUUGGUUAUCUGCAUUCCAUUUUCUGAAUCUGAUCUGCGCAAGGCCUCUGAAUCAUUGAAAAGAGUUGCAGCAUCGGUUUUGGCGGCUCAUGACUGAAUUGAAGAGUGCACAUCAGAUUUCAUUUUAUUUUUCCAAUGAUAUUUUAGACAUUUCUUUGAUUGCAUCAACAGAAAAACUCGGGAAUUUUUGUUUCUUGGUAGAUGCUUUCAUAGUAUUUGUAUGUAUAAUUAGUUUGAAUUGCAUCUUUUGUGCCGAUUUGUUUUGCAAUAACUUUCAACUUACAACUAGGCACUAGUUUAACUUUAUUUCAUCUUGGAAUUGAAAUAUUUUUGCAUAUUGAAAAGCAUGAAUUGA